rnacentral:tRNA from 1 species
CAAGAGGUAGUUUAAUAAGAAUAUUGGCUUUGGGGGUCGACGGUGGGGGUUUGUAGCCCUCCUUCUUGA